UACGUAGGGGGCCAGCGUUGUUCGGAAUUACUGGGUGUAAAGGGUUCGUAGGCGGUGCGGCAAGUUGGGAGUGAAAUCUCUGGGCUCAACCCAGAGACGGCUUCCAAAACUGCUGUGCUUGAGUGUGGGAGAGGCUCGUGGAAUUGCAGGUGUAGCGGUGAAAUGCGUAGAUAUCUGCAGGAACACCGGUGGCGAAGGCGGCUAUCUGGACAGAAACUGACGCUGAGGCGCGAAAGCUAGGGGAGCAAACAGG
rnacentral:rRNA from 1 species